GACGAAGGAUGCAAGCGUUAUCCGGAUUCAUUGGGUUUAAAGGGAGCGUAGGCGGCCUGGUAAGUCAGUGGUGAAAUCUCGCAGCUUAACUGCGAAACUGCCAUUGAUACUGCUAGGCUAGAGUACAGAUGCUGUGGGCGGAAUAUGACAUGUAGUGGUGAAAUACGUAGAGAUGUCAUAGAACACCGAUUGCGAAGGCAGCUCACAAAACUGUAACUGACGCUGAGGCUCGAAAGUGUGGGGAGCAAACAGG
rnacentral:rRNA from 1 species